rnacentral:rRNA from 1 species
CAAUAGCGUAUAUUAAAGUUGUUGCAGUUAAAAAGCUCGUAGUUGGAUUUCUGGUCGGAAGCUCCUGUCCUCUGAUGAGCGUACAAGUGCGUCCUACCAUCCUUCUGUUAACCUUUAAGGCUUUCGCGGCUUUCUAGGGGCUCAGAUAUUUUACCUUGAGAAAAUUAGAGUGUUUCAGGCAGGCUAGCGCCGGAAUACAUUAGCAUGGAAUAAUGGAAUAGGACUUUUGCCUCUUCUGUGGGUCAUGAGGCUCGAGUAAUGAUUAAUAGGGAUAGUUGGGGGCAUUAGUACUUAACUGUCAGAGGUGAAAUUCUCGGAUUUGUUAAAGACUAACUUAUGCGAAAGCAUUUGCCAAGGAUGUUUUCAUUAA